CCUGUCUGUUAUUUAUUAUUACUAUUUAAUGUUAAAAGGAAAACUCCCAAUUUCGCUAGCUAGUGAUCAAGCAUAUCCCUUUGAUUUAUGCUCUACCACUUGUGGUUUCUUGGCUCUGUGAAGGUCCUCUGUCCUUCUGGUAUCCUAUACUCCUCAUUUAAUUUAUGCUGUUCCUCCUGUUUCACCUUUGUUCCCCUACCAACUCAUCUCUUCUGGUUAAAUAUGUACCUUUUGUGUCCCUCCCUGUCCUUCUAAAAUCCUCCAUGCAUUCCAAUUUUUUCAGUUUCUCUUUAGAACCCUUUCGGAACUAAAGUCCCA